rnacentral:rRNA from 4 species
GGGUUGUGAGGUUAAGCGACUAAGCGUACACGGUGGAUGCCCUGGCAGUCAGAGGCGAUGAAGGACGUGCUAAUCUGCGAUAAGCGCCGGUAAGGUGAUAUGAACCGUUAUAACCGGCGAUUUCCGAAUGGGGAAACCCAGUGUGACUCGUCACACUAUCAUUAACUGAAUCCAUAGGUUAAUGAGGCGAACCGGGGGAACUGAAACAUCUAAGUACCCCGAGGAAAAGAAAUCAACCGAGAUUCCCCCAGUAGCGGCGAGCGAACGGGGAGGAGCCCAGAGCCUGAAUCAGCAUGUGUGUUAGUGGAAGCGUCUGGAAAGGCGCGCGAUACAGGGUGACAGCCCCGUACACAAAAGCGCAUGUGCUGUGAGCUCGAUGAGUAGGGCGGGACACGUGGUAUCCUGUCUGAAUAUGGGGGGACCAUCCUCCAAGGCUAAAUACUCCUGACUGACCGAUAGUGAACCAGUACCGUGAGGGAAAGGCGAAAAGAACCCCGGCGAGGGGAGUGAAAAAGAACCUGAAACCGUGUACGUACAAGCAGUGGGAGCACCCUUUGGGGUGUGACUGCGUACCUUUUGUAUAAUGGGUCAGCGACUUAUAUUCUGUAGCAAGGUUAACCGAAUAGGGGAGCCGGAGGGAAACCGAGUCUUAAC